UGCCUACGGGGGGCAGCAGUGGGGAAUAUUGCACAAUGGGGGGAACCCUGAUGCAGCGACGCCGCGUGGGUGAAGAAGUCAUUCGUGACGUAAAGCCCUAUCAGCAGGGAAGAAAAUGACGGUACCUGACUAAGAAGCCCCGGCUAACUACGUGCCAGCAGCCGCGGUAAUACGUAGGGGGCAAGCGUUAUCCGGAUUUACUGGGUGUAAAGGGGGCGCAGACGGCGAUGCAAGCCAGGAGUGAAAGCCCGGGGCUCAACCCCGGGACUGCAUUUGGAACUGUGUGGCUAGAGUGUCGGAGAGGG
rnacentral:rRNA from 1 species